rnacentral:rRNA from 1 species
AUGGACGUCGAUGAUGAUGUGGAGGACGAUGACAUGGAUUUCAACCCUUUAUAUAGGGAAGGAUCACCAUCCGAGACCUCGUCAAGCCUCACCUCAGAGGCAGAAUGCGAGGGAACUAGCUUUCAAAAUCAACCAAGCACUGAGGUGCUUCUUCGCAAUAGUCCUGGUAAUGGAAAUGCAGGUGAUUGUGUACUUCCCACAGAAAGUUUGUCAGCCAAAGGUGCCUGCAAAGAAAAUGCAGGUGAUUGUGUGCUUCCCAAAGAAAGUUUGUCAGCCAAAGGUGCCUGCAAAGAAAAUGUUCCAGCGAGCAGUUCUACCCAGUUGCAUUGUGAGAAUGGAGAAGGCCGUGUUAAUGGAUUGGGAAAGAAACCCUUACAGACUGUAGCUUCCUUCUCUCCACCAGUACAGAAUACUCAUCCCCUGUUGCAUGAAGGUACCGAGGAAGAUGCAAUCUGCAGGCGGACACGGGCAAGAUACUCUCUGGCAAAUUACGCACUUGACGAGUUAGAGACCUUUCUCCAGGAAUCUGACGAUGAUGGUGACCUGCAGAAUGUUGAUGAGGAAGAGGAAUACCGCAAGUUUCUUUCAGCUGUCCUGUCUGGUGGAGGCGAUGGCACGCAGCCUUGCCAGGGGGAUGAAACCCAGGAUGAAGAUGAGAAUGAUGCGGACUUUGAGCUCGAAAUUGAGGAGGCCCUGGAAAGUGAUGGUGGUGAAAAUGUCGAGAAUGAUAAGAACAUAAAUGGUAGGAAUAAGAAAGAUGGUCAUAGGCCUCAGACUAGGAAGAAGAGACCUGAGUCGUCCAGGGCAGUCAAUCAUCAACAGGAAUCAACUAAACCUAAUUUGCGACCGAUUGUCCCAAAUUUCUCACCUACACCCCAGGUUCCUGGGCAGUAUCCAUCCCAGAACAUCAAUGUCCCUUCCUCAUCAUCAUCAGCAACUGGUGCUGCUGUAGUGAAGGGGUUUACUGAUGAGCAACUUGGCCAAUUGCAUAUUUUGAUAUAUGAACAUGUUCAGCUCAUGAUCCAAACCUUCUCUCUAUGCGUUCUUGACCCAUCUAAACAGCGUGUGGCUGCUGAUGUUAAAAAAAUGAUAGUUGAGUUGGUUGGCUACCGUGAUCAAGCAUUGGCUAGGAAAAACACUAUACGUCAACAAUUCUAUUUUGAAGGGCAGCAUCUUCGGUCAGCAAUUAGUCAUGCUUUUUCUGAGACCUCGCAAUGCCAAUGGAUUCCAUUAAUUAAGAAUCCUGUUAUGUCCAUCCUUGAUGUCUCACCACUUCAUUUGGCCCUCAGCUAUUUAAGUGAUGUUGCAGGCGCUGUUGUGAAGUAUAGAAAAAGCCAUGUGGAUGGCACUCCAGAGAGGAUCCGCUUUAGGAAAGAACCUCUUUUUCCAUCACCGGUACUUAGCACUGGCAGAGAUGCUAACAAUAUUUCUCAAGACAGACCAAAUAAUGUGUCCACAUCAACACCAGCUUCACCUGGCCAGUCACAGCCCAAGAAAUCAUUAGCUGCUACCCUUUUUGAGAGUACUAAAAAGGAGUCGGUUGCUCUUGUUCCAUUUGAUAUUGCAAGAUUGGCGCAGAGAUUUUAUCCACUAUUCAAUUUUUCGCUGUUUCCUCAUAAGCCACCUCCCGCAGCUAUGGUCAGUAGACUGCUUUUCACUGAUGCAGAGGACGGGUUAUUAGCUCUAGGACUUCUGGAAUAUAAUAAUGACUGGGAAGCGAUACAAAAGCGUUUUCUUCCUUGCAAGUCAACGCAUCAGAUAUUUGUGAGACAGAAGAACCGCAGCUCAGCAAAAGCUACUGACAAUCCAGUCAAGGAUGUGCGCCGUAUGAAGAAUUCUCCAUUGACUAGUGAGGAAGUGCAGCGUAUCGAAGAGGGGCUCAAGAUAUUCAAACAUGAUUGGACAUCUGUUUGGAAGUUUGUUGUGCCAUACAGAGAUCCUUCACUGCUCCAGCGUCAGUGGAGAGUUGCCAAUGGAAUCCAGCGAUCUUACAGUAAAAGUGAGGCUUUGAAAGCAAAGAGGAGAACAUAUGAAGCGAAGAGGAGGCAAUUAAAAGCUUCCAUGGCUGAUUCACAAGUAGGUCGUGAGCAGGAGACUGAUAAUGAUGCUUUUGAGGAUGUUGAAAAUGAUGAUGAUGAUGAUGAUGAUGAUGAUGAUGGUGAUGAUCCAUAUGUCAAUGAAGCAUUUUUAGCAGACACAGAGAAUAGGAGCAUGAAUAUGAUGCAAACGGGCACCAGCCUCAAUGAUGAAUGUGGUUCUGCAUAUGGCCGCUUUGAGCAGCAUAAAAGAAAUGGUACGCAUCAUGGUGUCGGCGCUGCAUAUAUACCUUUUAGCUCUUGCGCUUCUGAUGGUCCUUCAACUAAAAGGGUGUUUGGUGUGACUUUGGAUGAACCGCAAGCUUCACAAUUGUCUAAAGAGAAAGGUAGCCAUGUCGUCAAGUUGGCCCCAGAUUUGCCUCCUGUAAACCUUCCUCCUUCUGUCCGUGUGAUAUCUCAGAUGGAAUUUCAUCAGAAUGCGGCGCAGGAUCUGUUUCCUGUGCCACCUCCAACCUUUACAGAAUGUGUUUACACACAGCUAAAUCUUUUCCCUCAUCAUAGUACUACUGACAGAUCGCAACAACAUGGGCGUGAUGCACGUUCGAUGGAAGAUGGCGCUGAGCAAGAUUUUCAAAUGCAUCCUUUGCUUUUUCAGCAUCCUCGAGAAGUGCUUUCGUCACAUAGCCAUUCGAUUCAAAAUCUUACUAGUCAUUCAAGAAAUUAUAAUCUUUUCCCUUUUGAGAAAGUUCAAGUUGAGAAAAGUAAUACGCAGACUACAGAUGGCAUGGAAAGAGCUCCUGUCAAUGCUAAUACCAUCGACUUCCAUCCUCUGCUGCAAAGACCUGAAGCUGAGAUGCAUGUGGAAGUACCAGAAGAGGACUGUCGUCCACUUUCUAAUCAAUCUGACGGUCGUAUUAGGGAACCUCCAGUGGAUGACCAGUCAACAGUUAGGGAAGCGUCGACAAGCAAAAGAGAGAACGGUAUUGAUAUGCAAGAAUCCACAAGCCCUUGUGAGAGGGAUACCAACAUUGAUUUGGACAUUCAUUUAUGUUCCUCAGUGGAUUUCAGGAUUGCAAAUGAUUUGAGAAGUACUCCUAGUAAAUCCAGAAUUCAGCCAGAAAGGCCUGUGAAGGACAGAGCUAGUAUUUUGAAUUUACAGCCUGGGAAUGCUAGUCCUCAUCAUGACACUGAAAGGCCUGGUGAGGAAACAAUGCAAGGCAUUGUAAUGGAACAAGAAGAAUUAAGUGAUUCCGAGGAAGAGAGCCAGCAUGUUGAGUUUGAAUGUGAGGAAAUGGAUGAUUCUGAAGACGAGCAAGUUCAGGGCACAGAACCUUGUUCGACUACAAACAAGGGAACUUCAGCAUCAAUUGUUUGUUCAGAGUUGCAAGAAAAUAAUGACCAGUGUCAAACCCAACAAGGAUUAAAACAGGUGGCUAAACAGGGUGUGGGUUCAAAACGGAAAUCGCGUGGGUCUUCUAGUGCAAGGUCGGUCAGAGCAAAGUUGAAGCCGACGGAUGCAGAUGCAGAAAAGCACACAGGAACUAGAAGAAGCCGACGGAUAUCCAGGUCCAGAUCUCGAGCGAGUGAAUCUAGCCAGGCCAAAAUGCCGGAAGAGGCAGGUCCUGAACAUAAGUCCAGUGAGUCAAGAAGGUCUAGAAAGAGCCCUGCCCCGAGUUAA